rnacentral:rRNA from 1 species
AUUGAACGCUGGCGGCAGGCCUAACACAUGAAAGUCGAACGAGUGGCGGACGGGUGAGUAAUGUCUGGGAAACUGCCUGAUGGAGGGGUCUAACUACUAGAAACGGUAGCUAAUACCGCAUACCAUCGGAUGUUCCCACAGGGGUUUAGCUAGUAGGUGGGGUAAAGGCUCACAGGGGCGACAAUCCCUAGCUGGUCUGAGAGGAUGACGAGACACACUGUAACUGAGACACGGGCCAGACUCCUACGGGAGGCAGAAGUGGGGAAGAUGGCACAAUGGGCGCAAGCCUGAUGCAUCCAUGCCGCGUGUAUGAAGAAGGCCUUCGGGUUGUAAAGUACUUUCAGCGGGGAGGCGUUACUCGCAGAAGAAGCACCGGCUAACUCCGGGCCAGCAGCGGCGGUAAUUC